GAUGAAGAACGUAGCGAAAUGCGAUACUUGGUGUGAAUUGCAGAAUCCCGUGAACCAUCGAGUCUUUGAACGCAAGUUGCGCCCGAAGCCAUUAGGCCGAGGGCACGCCUGCCUGGGUGUCACACACCGUUACCCUCGCGCCAACGUCCAUCGUUGGCCGCGGCGCGGGGCGUGCGCUGACCUCCCGCGAGCGGGGUCUCGUGGUUGGUUGAAAAUCGAGUUCGCGGUCGAGGGUGCCGUGAUGAAAUGGUGGAUGGGCGACGCCCGAGGCCAAUCACGCGCGACUCUGUCCGGCUCNNNCUCCUGGACCCCUUCGGCGUCUCCGGACGCUCUUUGGCGAGACCUCAGGUCAGGCGGGGCUACCCGCUGAGUUUAAGCAUAUCAAUAAGCGGAGA
rnacentral:misc_RNA from 1 species